rnacentral:rRNA from 1 species
GACGAAGGGGGCUAGCGUUGUUCGGAAUUACUGGGCGUAAAGCGCGUGUAGGCGGUUAUGCAAGUCGGGUGUGAAAGCCUUGAGCUCAACUCAAGAAAUGCAUUCGGUACUGGGGGACUAGAGGAACGGAGAGGAUAGUGGAAUUCCCAGUGUAGUGGUGAAAUACGUAGAGAUUGGGAAGAACACCAGGGGCGAAGGCGGCUAUCUGGACGGUUUCUGACGCUAAGACGCGAAAGCGUGGGGAGCAAACAGG